UGGCGAACGGGUGAGUAACGCGUGAGUAACCUGCCUUUCAGUGGGGGGACAACAGAGGGAAACUUCUGCUAAUACCGCAUAACGUGCCUUGGGGGCAUCCCUGGGGUACCAAAGAUUUAUUGCUGAAAGAUGGGCUUGCGUCUGAUUAGAUAGUUGGCGGGGUAACGGCCCACCAAGUCGACGAUCAGUAGCCGGUCUGAGAGGAUGAACGGCCACAUUGGGACUGAGAUACGGCCCAGACUCCUACGGAAGGCAGCAG
rnacentral:rRNA from 1 species